UCCUCCCCAGAUCCGCUUCUCCCCCAAACCAUCUCAUCUUCUUAUUCCACCCGUCCGCCAUGAUUGUUGCAGAGGAGGAGGAGGAAGGGGAUGGCAAAAUCUCGGGAGAGAAAAAAGCCGGCAAGCAAGCGAGAAGGAUGUCAUGGCAGACAUACGUUGACGAGCCGCUGCUCUGCGACAUCGACGGCCAGCGCCUCACCGCCGCCCCAUCCUUGGCCAUGAUGGCACUGCUUGGGCACAGUCCGAGUCCUUCCCCGAGGUCCUCCUUCUUCGUUAAAUUAUCUACAUCUACUGCUCCCAUUGAUACUCCUUGUUCUGUUUUACUUAAUUUACUUGGUCGAUCUAUGUUUGACUUGACUGAGAUCUCGCUUGUCCGAGUGGCUGCAAGCCUGAUGCGUUGGUGAAUUCAUUUUUUACUUGCUUGUUGUAACCGUAAUCUACGAUGCACAAAGUACCCGUGUAGUUGGUUGGUUCUACAGGCACGCUGCUGGUUGGAGGGGGGUAUAAGCAUCUGUAACUUACUAAUGGAAGCACAUUGCAGGGUGAUAUCUAUGUGGCCAUACAGAUGAAAGUUGAUUUUCCAGCUAGCCCAAAAAAAUACAAUUACCAAAAUUUAGAAGUAUUGAUUUAAUGGUACAAGUAAUUCCUAUAGAGAUAUGGCUUGGAUCAUCAGAUUGCAGGGAGCAUAAAGUUUGUUUGUGUUGUUACUAUUUCAAACUGUAUUAAACCGUGGCUACAUAUUUUUUAGUGAAUGAACGGGGAAGGAAGAUCCACUGCUCGAUAUUCUUUUUUGCGACUCCAUUAGUUUGUAUGUUCAGUUGGCAAACUUUUGCUCUUUUAUGUUACACAUCAUUCUUGUUUUUUUUUCUUUUUGAAAGAUUACAUUGCAUCAGUCUUAUGACUUAUGAUCAGUGUGUUUCUACAUUCAACAGAUCAAACCUGAAGAACUUACUGCAGUAAUAAAUGACUUCGAUGAACCACGCACUUUGGCACCAACUGGAUUAUUCCAUGGUGGUACAAAGUCGCCAUGAAGAGAACCCAAUGUUCCAGCUAGACGGACCUGCUGGUAUUUUAUAAUCUGGUCAUUAGCGGAUGGUCUUCAAGUAAAGCUAAAUGUGAGCCACACCAAUUUCCUUUAGUUCUUGAGAAUUUUGUUGUUGUCCUUUCGAUUAACAAUCUGCCACAAUGCUAAUGACACUUGCUUUCUCUUUCUAAAAUGCAUGUGUGUUUUUCUCAAGUGUCCUCACUAUUUGAGGAUUGUUACUGUGUGACAAAGCAAGGCAAUGCAAAAAAGUGCAUGUGCUUUUCUUUGUUUAUCAAGUAGUUACUCUAAAAUACGAUAUGCCUUCUGGAAUUUUUGCCCUACAAAAUACAUGUAUCAUCUCCUCAUUGAUUCUGAUCUAAUGCGGAGAUUAUUUCUACACUAUGACUGCGUUUUAUUUUCGUAUAUAUGCAUAUCGCGGCCAGAGUGAUAAGCUGGUUGCACAUGCAUCAUCGUCGUAAGCUGGAUGAGCAAGGCUAGCGACGAGAUCAUGGUGAGGAUGGACUAGCGGGCACAGGGAUCCAACAUGAGGUACAUAGAGAUCAAGGUGCACACUAUCAAGAGGCCUUCUCCAGAGGAUCUAAGACUGGACAUAUGACACUUCUGAUAAUUCAAACAACCUUUGCCAAUAAAGCAGCAUGGGCUAGAGAAAUAGCGCUAAAACUUCAUUAAGUCGAAGUAAGCAGUAUCCAUUCUAAAUGGCCUUCUUUCUUCCUCAUAUGUCAAUUGCAAACAAACAUGCUUCUGCUGAUGCUUAGAAGAAGCUAAGGAGUUUUUCUCAAUGACGGUUCUGACUUUGAUAAUUUAUUAGAAGAAAGAGUGGAAAAAAAUGAGAGGAUGCUGAAAUGACUCAAAUAGAACUACUAGAUCUCCGUGCUAGCAAGCUAAGUAUGUUCGAGGAAAUAAUGCGAUGCAAAAAAUUUUCUUGUGAUCGUGGGGAUUGUUUACAGAAUUUGCAAUUUUGAUUCGCUUCAUUGCAAAAAUGAUACUGUUUAGAUUUUAUUAGUAGAAAUGACUGUAAGUCCAACAUUUGACCAUAGAAGGUUUUAUAAUCUUCAGUAAAUAGUAUGGUAUUAUAACAUCUAGAAUUGAUGGUUUUA